rnacentral:rRNA from 1 species
CACGAAGUUAGCCGGGGCUUAUUCUCCUGGUACAGUCAUUAUCUUCCCAGGUAAAAGAGCUUUACAACCCUAAGGCCUUCAUCACUCACGCGGCAUGGCUGGAUCAGGGUUGCCCCCAUUGUCCAAUAUUCCCCA